rnacentral:rRNA from 1 species
CAGUCGCCGCGGUAAUACGUAGGUGGCAAGCGUUAUCCGGAAUUAUUGGGCGUAAAGCGCGCGUAGGCGGUUUCUUAAGUCUGAUGUGAAAGCCCACGGCUCAACCGUGGAGGGUCAUUGGAAACUGGGAAACUUGAGUGCAGAAGAGGAAAGUGGAAUUCCAUGUGUAGCGGUGAAAUGCGCAGAGAUAUGGAGGAACACCAGUGGCGAAGGCGACUUUCUGGUCUGUAACUGACGCUGAUGUGCGAAAGCGUGGGGAUCAAACAGGAUUAGAUACCCCUGUAGUCCCUGUCUCUUAUAU